UAACUAGCCGCCUUAUACUAAAAUAACUUCUGUUUAUAGGUGAAUAAUAUUAAUUUUUAGUUUAGGGUGGCCAGUUACUGGCGAAACAUCCUAUAUGUAAUAAAUGGGCAUUUGAACUGUUUUUAAAUGGUCAGAAAUAAAAAAAUGUGAAACCGUUUCUGAUAUUCUGGCAAAUGGGCAAAGACACAACUAAUAAUCUUAAUACUACAUAAUUCUCUUGGCAACUUUGCCCAAUAGCGUUUAUAUCCGUUUCAACUUUGCCAACACCGAUUAUGCCAAUAAUACUCUAUAGUACUGGCAUAUACGGUUAUACGGCCCAAUUCGAACAACUUAUAAGAUGUCACAGCGAUACGAUACGGAUCUGACAGUGUCAAGUGACAUUUCUUCAACCACAAACGUCACUUUUGACACUGACAGAUCAGUAUCACAUCGGAAACAGAUCCAAUAACUAAAACUCGAAUGGCCUAUUAUGCGUUGGCUUGAAGAUAUGAAAGGGUAUUUUAUUAUAGUAGAGUAGCUAUAAGAAAAGACCACAUGUGUAUAAAGUAGAGUUACUUGUACAUACUAUAUUAUUGUGAUAAAUAUAUAACAUAUUAUAUACAGUU